UGGUGUUCCGGUUGUCACGCCAGUGGCAUUGCCGGGUAGCUACGUUCGGACGGGAUAACCGCUGAAAGCAUCUAAGCGGGAAGCCUCCCUCAAGAUGAGAUCUCCCUGGGAACUUGAUUCCCCUGAAGGGCCGUUGAAGACCACAACGUUGAUAGGCUGGGUGUGGAAGCGUUGUAAGGCGUGAAGCUAACCAGUACUAAUUGCCCGUGAGGCUUGACUAUAUAACACCAAAGCAGU
rnacentral:rRNA from 1 species